rnacentral:rRNA from 1 species
AUGCACCGUUACCCCGACCCAAUAUCAUUAAACUCUUUCAUUGCACAUCUUGAGAACCUCUUGCUUGCUGACCCUGAUCCUAUUCCUGACAACUCCCCAGAUACUGGAAACUCUAGAGCAACAAGAUCAGGCGACCCUCCAACGGCUGACCAUGGGCAGUCGAAAAAGCGCAAGAGGUUAGAUGUUUGGGAUUACUUCACCAAGCUAUUUGCACGCGACAUCAACGGGAAGGUUUUGACAUUUGCGGCUUGCAACCACUGCUGCAAGAUACUGUCAGGCAGCUCCAAGGGUGGGACAACACACCUCGCAAGGCACGUGUGUCCGUGCAAGUUCAAGCCAGUAGUAGCUGGCAGAAGUGCCAAGGAUUCCGGCGGCGACGCCAAUGUCCUAUCGUCCUAA